rnacentral:misc_RNA from 1 species
UCCUUUUUAUGGAGCUUAUAUGCCUGCACCAAUAACAAAAUCAUGGUUAAAACCCAGCGAGGGUCAGGCAUAUCUUAAAAGCAGCAAAAUGCAGGCUUGUGAAGGAGUGAUAAAUUUACUGAGUACUAGUAGAAGAUUUAAGAUUUAGAACUGAUUUGUAGGGUUGCCUCAUUUAUGCAUUAGCUUGUCAAUGUUUGUUAAUUUUAUAUCAUUAGCAGCUAAUUUGGGGACCUUCUAUUUGACACCAUUUCUCAGAUCAAAUGAAGCUUUGAUCUAAAAAUG